UCCAGACUCCUACGGGAGGCAGCAGUGGGGAAUAUUGCACAAUGGGGGGAACCCUGAUGCAGCGACGCCGCGUGGGUGAGGAAGUACUUCGGUAUGUAAAGCCCUAUCAGCAGGGAAGAAAAUGACGGUACCUGACUAAGAAGCCCCGGCUAACUACGUGCCAGCAGCCGCGGUAAUACGUAGGGGGCAAGCGUUAUCCGGAUUUAUUGGGUUUAAAGGGUGCGCAGGCGGAAGCGCAAGUCAGCGGUCAAAUUGCGGGGCUCAACCCCGUACUGCCGUUGAAACUGCAUCCCUUGAGUGCGCGAGAAGUAUGCGGAAUGCGUGGUGUAGCGGUGAAAUGCAUAGAUAUCACGCAGAACUCCGAUUGCGAAGGCAGCAUACCGGCGCGCAACUGACGCUCAUGCACGAAAGCGUGGGUAUCGAACAGGAUUAGAUACCCCCGUAAGU
rnacentral:rRNA from 1 species